rnacentral:rRNA from 1 species
CGUAGUAAUCUACCUUACAGUCGGAAUAACCUGACGAAAGUCGGGCUAAUACUGGAUAGAGCGACGGAAACCGUAACGGUUUUUCGGGAAAGGGAGCUUGAUAAGAGCCCUCGCUGUAAGAUGAGCCUGCGUCUGAUUAGUUAGUUGGUGGGGUAAUGGCCUACCAAGACGAUGAUCAGUAGCUGGUCUGAGAGGAUGAUCAGCCACACUGGAACUGAAACACGGUCCAG